CUCGUAGGCGGUUCAGUAAGUCGGGUGUGAAACCUCCAGGCUCAACCUGGAGACGCCACCCGAUACUGCUGUGACUAGAGUCCAGUAGGGGAGCGUGGAAUUCCUGGUGUAGCGGUGAAAUGCGCAGAUAUCAGGAGGAACACCAGCGGCGAAGGCGGCGCUCUGGGCUGGAACUGACGCUGAGGAGCGAAAGCGUGGGGAGCGAACA
rnacentral:rRNA from 1 species